AUUGAACGCUGGCGGCAGGCCUAACACAUGCAAGUCGAACGAGUGCCGGACGGGUGAGUAAUGUCUGGGAAACUGCCUGAUGGAGGGGGUUAACUACUGGAAACGGUAGCUAAUACCGCAUACCAUCGGAUCUGCCCAGAUGGGAUUAGCGAGUGGGUGGGGUAAAGGCUCACCUAGGCGACGUUCCCUAGCUGGUCUGAGAGGAUGACCAGCCACACUGAAACUGAGACACGGUCCAGACUCCUACGGGAGGCAGCAGUGGGGAAUAUUGCACAAUGGGCGCAAGCCUGAUGCAGCCAUGCCGCGUGUGUGAAGAAGGCCUUCGGGUUGUAAAGUGCUUUCAGCGGAGAGGCGUUACCCUCAGAAGAAACACCGGCUAACUCCAUGCCAGCAGCCGCGGUAAUUC
rnacentral:rRNA from 1 species